CAGGGCAGCCGCCCAACUCCAGCUGCCCGCCGACACCUCUGCCUCGAGGCUUCCCUGCCAGCCGCAGCUUGCUCUCCCAGAUCGGUAACACCCAGCGCUGCCAGCAGCAGCGGCCCUCCAGCAGUGACUUACAGGAGCUGCUGUGCAAAUACCGCAGCAACCUUGCCUCUUGGGGAGCGUCUGUAGAAGGGUACCCGCGGGACACAACCAGCCAAAUCAGAAUGUGGGAAACUCUAAAGGACAGAUGACCCAGCCUUUUCAACAAACACAAGAAUAUCUCAUUGCACUGUACUCACCCUUCUCAUGAUGUGAGCUGAUGACGGGAAUGAUGCAGGCAGGUGAGAUGGCUUAGGCUUCUUGACCUUCUGAUGACUCAUUGGGAGGAGCUUCCCACUGCAGUUGACCAUGGAUCACUGAAACUGCCAAAGCCAAACUACGGCUGGGUGUGGACACUACUCUACUUGGCUCUCUACUUUGUCUAUGUUUGAAAUUUUCCGUAACAAAAACUUAAAUGGAAGAAAGAAAAUGAAUAAAGUGUGGCCUAAUG